rnacentral:rRNA from 1 species
UACAGAGGUCCCAAGCGUUGUUCGGAUUCACUGGGCGUAAAGGGUGCGCAGGUGGCAUUUCAAGUUUGAUGUGAAAGCUUCGGGCUCAACCCGGAAAUGGCAUUGAAUACUGGAGUGCUGGAGGUUUGGAGGGGGGACUGGAAUUCUCGGUGUAGCAGUGAAAUGCGUAGAUAUCGAGAGGAACACCAGUGGCGAAGGCGAGUCCCUGGACAACACCUGACACUGAGGCACGAAAGCUAGGGGAGCAAACAGG